UCUUUACAUUAAUAUAUAAUAAUUAUUUAAUUUAUUUAAGUUUAAAAGAAAAUAUUAAUUUAAUGUUAUGUUGGGGCGACAGAUAUAAAGUAAAUUUAACUGUUUAAUUUUCUCUAACAAAUUAUUAUUGAUUUAAAGAUCCUUCUUAAAGAUUAAAAGAUUAAGUU
rnacentral:rRNA from 1 species